rnacentral:rRNA from 1 species
GACGAACCGUGCGAACGUUGUUCGGAAUCACUGGGCUUAAAGGGCGCGUAGGCGGGCCAGCAAGUCAGGGGUGAAAUCCCACGGCUCAACCGUGGAAGGGCCUUUGAUACUGUCGGCCUCGAGGGAGGUAGGGGCGUGCGGAACUUCCGGUGGAGCGGUGAAAUGCGUAGAUAUCGGAAGGAACAUCGGUGGCGAAAGCGGCGCGCUGGACCUCUUCUGACGCUGAGGCGCGAAAGCCAGGGGAGCAAACGGG